rnacentral:lncRNA from 1 species
GCUGCAUCGAUAUGUUGGAAAUAUGCCCUGAAAGUCAAUCUUUGGAAGAAACCUUUCAGGACAAUAAAUGGAUGUAUAGAUGACUCUUAUACAUCAAAUGGCAAAGAUACUAAUUAGGACUAUCUCUAUAAACGAUAUAUGUCCUAAAUAAUGAAUCCAUGGACAAUGGAUCGAUGGAAGAAGUAAUCUAAUGAUGUUAGACUACAGAGACCUCCUUCACAUAACCAUCAUGUCCAAAAAGGUUCCUGGUCAUAUGAUUGUCAGAGGGACACUGACAAUGCAAAGACCAGUACAUACUAUGUCCCCUGAAGGAUUUAUUUUGAAAAACAUGUUCAUUUGAGCAACAUCAUAUAGCAUGCAAUUAACAAUUAAAGGCGGAAUCAUGCUUGCAUGCACUCAAAAACAAAACAUUACCAUGAAAUUCAAAGCCUAGUAGAUUGGUGAACCAAUAAUCAACUCAAAACAAAGUGAGUUGAAAUUAUUACCUUUGUAGAUUCCUCUUUGCAUUAGCAAAGGCUAAUCACCCAAAGAGAUAUGGCCUUCAUUCCUUGCUUCUUAGAUCCAUGGAUUUGGAUGGAAAAAUAGGUUUCUCCAAGUUCCCAAAAUAGGGAACCUCUAAGUCUCUUCACCAAGGUUUGAUUGUAGAAGAAAUGAGUGACCUUGGAGUAGUAGGAUUGCUAGAUGUACCCUCCAAGGUGUUGGCCUCUUUAGAGAGAAAAUGGAGAGACAAUUCUCACCAAUUUUCCCCCAAAAUAAACCCUUAAUUUUUCCUUAAUGAAUUUUGGCUAUAAAGUCAUUUAUAUAGUCACUUCUUUAAGUAACCUAAACAACCAAAACCCUAAUUCAUCUAAUAUGGCCGGCCAUUUAGGGAUGUUUGGGCUUUUGGGCUUUAAUGAAUCUUUAUUCAUUAAAUUGUCAUACAACUUAAGUUAAUGGGCUUGACGUUCGAAGCCCAUUGGGCCUUAAGGUCCAAAAACUAUCCCGAAGUCUUUAACGAACUUAUUCGUUUGAUUAAUUAACAUAUUAAUUAAUCCUUGCCAUAAAUAAAUGAUUAAACCAUUUAAUCAUUCUUACUCAUUUCCGUUUAAUCUCCAAUCUCUACCUCUUACGGUGUGCGAUCCAUUAGGUUCCUUUUAGCGAGGUAGUGGGCGAUUAAAAACCAUUUUACAUCGAUUGUGAAUUGAAACUAUUUUCAAUUCUCCCUUUAGUGAUUACACACGUUUAGGGCUUCCACAAACCAUGAGUGACACCUAGCAGCAUAUCAUGGUUACCCAAGCUAAUCAGAAGAGGUGGAGAACCUAUUCAGUUCGGGAUUACAAAUGCAAUACGGUCCUUCUCUAAUCUAAUACUCUUGACCACAUUGUUUGGUAUGAUAGUUUAUUUACUCAUGUCUACUAUCCAAUGUGAAUCGUUUGCUUAUAUGAUUUCCUUGAAUGUGAUUUGGAACGCAUUCCCCAAUCUCAUUCAUACUCUGGCCAGAGAUUCCAAAUCAUAUCAUAGAGUAUUCUCCCUCAAUUGUUUGAAGGUUAGAGAUCCCUUGUUGCGCAUUCACUUCUCUCCAUAGCUAAGUGGCUUAACCCCAACGAUGCCGUGACACCCCGAGGGGGUGAAUUAGACAUAAUCAAAGAUUAAGGACUUAACCACAAGACAACUGUGAUGCCUCAGGUCAAAGGACUACUUUGCAUUAUCCCAACCAUGAGUUCUCAUGUGACAUGGAAUAUAAGAACUCUUCGUUGAUCACGUUCAGUGAACUCAUUCUCUUAUUGAGCACCUACGUACUUGUCUUGAUGUCACACACACCAAUGACUCGAGACUAGUCACUCUCCCUGAGAGAAGACACAGUACGUACUGAUCUUAACGGACUGUCAAUGCCCAAUUGGUAAUCCUAUGAUCAGGAACAUUUAGGAAGUGUCUACGAAAGAAUGGUCUCAUUAAUCUAACUUCAUUAGAUUGCAUUCUCCCAAUCACAUAUUCCUUGGACUUUAUCGUUUAAGCAUAUAACAUUUAUAUGAGACGACUCAAACAAUAAUCUUUGCCCUUUAUAUGUUAAACUAGAUUAGUUUAACAUUUGAAAUGUCCGUAAAGUAUCAUCAUAUGAUUGGUUUUAGGGCACAUUUCCAACAAUCUCCCACUUGCACUAGAGCCAAUCAGCUUGGUCAUCUUGAUGAUACCUCUUCUGUAGUCAUUUCAUAAAUGGCUGAAUAGUAGGCUUAGGCAGUGGAUAUCUAUAUGUGUUAUCCACAGAAGAAGCAACCUUGAGAAUAACGACGUCACCAUUAUACAUGAUUCUCAAUCAUGUGGUUCAGUCUCUCAUUUGUGUUCGGAUCUUGAUGAGACCUUGAUUCCCAGGCUUGAGCUAUCGCCCCAUUAGUGUCAUACACUUUCUGGUUGGAAUCGAAUAAAGAGUUCAUAAAUGAACUUUCCCAUCCAAACAACAUUGUUGUAAACUUCUAUAUGGCAAUAUAUCUUGCAUUCAUAAUGGAACACACUAAAGUCAUUACUUUAAUGUUUCCAUCCAAAUAUCUCUUUAGUCAUAAUAAAGAGAUAUUCGUUUAUCUCUUCAUUCAUAAUGAAUAAACAUCCAAUGAUGGAUUAGAUUCAUAAUCUAAUACAUUUACGCUUCCAUUAUGUUACUUUGAUUCUUCCUCGAUCUUUGAGGAAUUUAUCCUUUAGUAUUUCUUAAAUACUUAAGGACUCACUUGACAGUUGCCAUGGUUCUGAUCCUGGGCUUGCAUUGAUAUCAUCUUGUACCGUUCUAGGUACAACUCAUAUCAAUGUUUUUCAUACAAUAUGAAAUACAUAAAUCACCUUUCUGCGUAUGCAUAAAGGAUUCAAUUUACGCAUUAUUUCUUUGGGAGUCAAAGGGUACGUUCCCUUUGAGAAGGGCAACUUGCUAGUCUCACUAGAAUCGUCCUUCUUAUUGAAGUUUAUCAUCAUAUGAGAAACUUCCUAGCAUCCAUUGUCUAUUAUUAGGGAUUGAUAUAAUCCAAUUAUAUCAUGAAAUAUAUCAUUAUAGAUUUCCAUCCCAUGUACAUAGACUAUAUCUCCCAUAUACAUUCUAUCUUCAUAUAAUGUAUUAAAGUCAUAACUUUAACGAAGAAGUAUUAUUUCCAAAAUAAAUAUAUCAUAUAUAUUUAAAUUUUUAGGAACAUGAUUAACUCCCACUAAUCUUUUGUAAACCUAGUAAACAAAAGAUUCAUUUACAUCUUUAUGAGAAAUCAAACGAUUUGAUCUUUCUCUCAUAAGACGCAUAUAGCUCCCACUAGCUUGCUAAGAUUCAUGAUGGAUGGAUCUCUACAACUUACAUGUCUUGUGAUUUUUAGUUUUAGACAUAUAUUAUCAAGACUAUCUUAAUAAUGGUUUCGGAAACCCAUAUUAUGUCCAAACAUUGAAUCACCAUUUAGUUGUAGCUAGCAAUCUUCGAAUUAAUCGAAACUAAGACUAUCUCAAAGAUGGUUUCUUCAAAGUCAACCAUUCUCUUUGAUUGUAGUUACCUUAAGCUACCAAUUAGCUAUGAAGGUUUCAUUAUUUCGAGUCAAAUGGUACUUUACCAUUUCCUUGAGUAUAUAUCGUAUAUGCACUCAGUGUAGUCAUAAGGAUUUUCAUUCUUACUUCUUUCGAAUUAAGAGGUGCAACUCUAUGACAUAGUCAUAAAGUUCAAAACCAUUCAACUGAGACGGUUUUAUAAAUCCUUAUCGACUACCUUGGAGCUUGAGGUAUAUAGGAACUAGGUUGUUAUAUUUGUUGAUUACUUUCUUGUCUCUCAAAGAACCCAUUCUUCGAGUUCUAUCUCUCGUUCAUUUGCUUUUAGGCAAAUCACAUUGUAGAAUUACAAUGAACUACCCAACAAAACAACAUUUGUUAGUUGGUUUAUAGAAGCGAUAUCCAAAAGUUAAUUUAAGGAUAUCCUACAAGAUUGUUAUCAAACAAAUAUUGCUUGUUAGCACACAACCCCAAAUCUUUAACAUGCUUAAGAUUUGUCUUUCUUUUCCAACUACAUCUUAUGGAGUCAUGAAAAUAUUGGAAGAUCUUCUCAUUGACAAUCAUAUUGUUUUAGAAGUAUAUAUCCUAUAUAUGGGUAAUUGAUAACAUCUAACGAACUAAAUCUUAUUCGAGUUCGUUCUUCUCCUAAUGGAGAAAUACAUUAUCUUAUGAUGCUAUUUUCCUUGAUAUCUUUCAAGGAAACUCAUCUAAAGUGUUACCUUUCCUUGGAUCAAAUCUAAGGAGGUAAAUACUUUAGACUUCUUACUCAUCAACUUACAUUACUUGUAUUCUUUGAAACAUUUUGCAAAGUAUUCGGACUUGUGUUUAUUCAAAAUAAACUAUAGUCCAACCGAGAGUGAUCUUCGGUGAAUGUUAUUCAACAUGAGUAAUAUUAUGUUUGUGGACAAGUGCCACUAACAUUUAAGUGAAUUAACCUCAACAACUUUGUGAUUCUUUCUUCUUUCCAAAAGAAUAAAGAUUCGAACAUUUCGCCUCUAUACAAUUUUAACAAGAAGGUAUUGGAUCCGGAUCUAACGAUCCAAAGCAUCCUUGUUUCACCAACUCGUAACUUAUGUUUUAGAGGUAUCACAAUUUAGUUGGGAUUAGUCACUACCUUGCAAGCUUUUGGGUUUUAAGCAUCAUUAUAUUCUAAACAGUUAACACUACCAUAUCAUCUCUACUAUAGAGACAAUCAAUUAGAUUACUAUAAUCCAAUUUCUUUGGUAGUUCAUAUGAGGAAGUAAGUACUAUCUGCUUUCGCAGAGAUCUAUAUCUUAUUCACGUUCCGUAUGUGAAGUACCUUUUCUUCUCUCAUAUAUCUUCUACUUCUUAUUAGUCACACUUUUACAACGAUUUGUAAAACAUAGUUACUAAUACGGAAUCAUAUAUUCAAGUAGAAGAACCAACUGUUUUGAACUAUUCAAGAACAAUUUACAACACCUUCGAAAGGUGUGUUCUUGACACUUGCAAGACAUUUCUUGCAAAUACCCCUUCCAAUGUCCAUCCUUUCAUAAAGAAAGUUUGUUCCCUUGGAGUUAUUUAUCUUCUUUAUUUGACUUUCACCUUUGACUACAUUAGUCAUGGUCCCUAAACUCCCACUAUCUCUCUUGAAACCUUUUUCAAUUGUGUUAUACACAUCAAACAAUUUGGAGAGUAUGUGGUUAUUGUUCACUACAUAGUUUACCAUAAACUUAGUGAACCAUUAGGAUAGGGAAACAAAGGUGAAGUCCUUGCCUAGUUUCCGUCUCGUUAAGUGGUUUAACACUUCAACACUCAAUGAUUCAAAAUCAUCAUAAGUCCAUGUUAAUGGACUAUUUUUGUCAACCAACCAUUAUGUUCUAAACAUAAUUACAAACUUUCAAGAGUUGUACAAGGCAACUCUCAUUUCUUCAUACAACAAUUUGUAAGUGAAGAAUCAUGGCACAUAAAGUGUCCAUGCCCUUGUGCUUACUUCUCAAGUUCUUUGUUCAAUUAACAAAGAAAUAAGCACUAAGUGUUUGUAUUGACUAAGGGUUGUUCAAAGCAACUCUUAUUUCUUCAUACAACAAUUUGUAAUUGAAGAAUUAUGACAUUAAAAGUGUUGUCCUCUCUAUGAUAGACCUUUUCUAACAUAUUCUUCUAAUGAUACAUUAUCAAUAGGAAGAUUGUGAGGAUGAGACUACUUAGGUACAUUUACAAGCCAUUAAAGACAAUCUAUGGUUUUGUAGUACCAAGUCCGUAAACUAAACGUUCGGCUUUUAUUUGUCAAGUGUUGGAUAGCGUUUGCAAAUAUAUUGGUAAACAAAUACAUAACGAAUAUAGAUUGAUUGAUUUUUAAGCCAUUUGAAUCGGGUCUUUAAAAUCAAAAUAGCACCACCCACUAUUUUUUGGCAAAUUCCAUAUCCCUCAUUGGAAUUCGAGAGUUUUGGAUGAAACUCUUAGUAGGUUAUGGGAGGCUCACUACUACCAAGCCCACCUCACAAUGAUAUGAUAUUGGCUAGCAUUAAUAAUAAUGAGAGAGUACGCUUACUCAUUUGCAACUAAUGCAAGUACCCAUCUUAUUUGGCCUCUAGAGAAUGUCACCUCACAAUGAUAUGAUAUUGGUUCUAUUGCACUUAGUUAAGUCAUUCCCACCAUGCUUAGUUCAUGAAGGGUUUCAAGAAUAGCCUCACGAUGAUACGAUAUUGGCCAUCGUCGUUGCCUACACUCACCUCAUCAUAUGUAUAUAGACUCCUCCUGAGUAUAAGCAUGCACUUUGUACUUCCCCAUGAUAGGGUGAAGCCGGUGUACAAGUCAUAAACGAUUGGAACUACCAUGGUGGAAGGCCACGAAAGAGUGUUCUAAGCACUCUCACGCUUUCAACUUAAUAUUGGUUUGGUUGAGGGUUUUUAGGUCUCAUCACAUAUCAAUAUACAUUUUAAUCUCUAUUAAAACUAUUUUGGUCCUAUUACAACUAUUGGUCCAUAUGAUUGUUUUAGUUGUACAUAAUACUCCCACUAUGCUUUUAAAACGGUUUUUAAAGCAAGAGUAUAUGUUACUACUAACAUAAGGUUUGCAUUCAUUUGAUGGACUAUAUAGUUGCCUUAGGGCCUUAGGAUGACUAUGAACCUUUGUUUAGAUUCAACACGAGCCUUGUGUUGAAUCUCGGUCUAGGGAUGGAGAUUGAUUUUAGUUACGCGUUUAAUCACAUUAAGGCGUGUUGUCUUAGGGGCGUUGGACCCAAUUACUUCAUUUUCAUGCAUAUCAUAUAAAGCAAGAAAGAAAUACUUCAAAGUAAAGGAUGAGCUUAUGCUCAUUACAACAUUUGCAUAAAACAAAUUACCUUAAAGUAAAGAAGGACUUAUGCCCUUUUACAACAUUUGAUCAAAUCAAAUUACAACCAAAAUCUAAUCUACACAUUCCCAUGGUUCAAACAAAUUUGAAACGCCUUUCACAUAGCUCAAUUAUAUUAGGCUUAGGUUCAUAAUCAUCCUUUAAUUAAUUAACGCUUUAACUAAUUAAUUGAAUGCAACAUUUUCAUUUGGUUUUUGUAUCCAUAAAAUUGAUUUAAGUGGAGCUAAACAAAAUGAAAAUCCAAUUCUCAUUUAAAGAGACAAAACAAUUUUGUUCUCAUCCUAUUUGGGCCAUCAUGCAAUAACCACAACUUUUUGGGCCAUAUUGCGAAAACAUAAACUUUUGGGGUCACUUUGUAAAAACACAAAAGUCACUACUUCAUGUAAAUACAACUAGAACCCAAAAUUUAAAUAAAUUCAAAAACUUCAUUAAAGGAGCAAAACAAUUUGUCCUUUAGCGUUUUUAGGCCUUAACGUCAAAACGUAAACUUUCGGGUCAAAGUACAAAUACACAAAAGUAUCAAAACUUUAUGUAAUUGCAUAAAAGCCCCAAAAUUACCCUAUUUUAUUAGGGUGGCCGGUUUUUAAGGAUAAAAAGGAGUGGUGGAUGUUUUGAUUUAUUAGUUUUGUCAAAAACAAUCAAGUAGUGCUUUCAUCUUUCAUAAAAAUAAUAUAUGUUUUGAUGAUUGAUGUUUCCAUCAUCAUUUAUACAAAUAUUUAACACUUUAAAUACUUUCAUAAAAUUAAUAUAUGUUUUUGAUGAUUGAUGUUUCCAUCAUCAUCAUUUAUACAAAUAUUUAACACUUUAAAUACUUUCAUAAAAUUAAUAUAUGUUUUGAUGAUUGAUGUUUCCAUCAUCAUUUAUACAAAUAUUUAACACUUUAAAUACAUGAUAAAUCAUUUGAAAAACAUAUAUCAUAAACUUUAUGAAAUAAAUCAAAACUUUGAAUCAAAACACAAACCUUUGUGUUCUUGGCAAGAACAUCAAGAACAUAUGAAGAACAUCCAUGAAACCCAUAAGAGCUCCAUGAAUGUUUUCAUGCAAUAAAACUCAAAUUUUUUAUCAUUCAAAAUGAGGCUAACAUCCUAGGGUACUUAGGGUUCCAAAAGUCACCUUAAAACCAUUUUAACAAGACAAACAUGAACCCAAAAAAUCACCCUUUGGAUUUGGCCGAAAAUCCCUAAAAUCAUGGCACCAAAUUUUAGCUCCAAUAUUCAUCCUCAUAUGAACUACAUCUACAACAUUUGAGAUGGCAAAUUUUCAAACAAAAUUUACAUUCAAAGAAGCAAGAAUAAAGCUUGUAACAAUUACAACUUUUAAAUCAUAAACUUAUGAACUACAAAACCCAAAAGGAUUCACCAACUACUAGACCUAGGCUCUGAUACCACUUGAAGGAUUUAUUUUGAAAAACAUGUUCAUUUGAGCAACAUCAUAUAGCAUGCAAUUAACAAUUAAAGGCGGAAUCAUGCUUGCAUGCACUCAAAAACAAAACAUUACCAUGAAAUUCAAAGCCUAGUAGAUUGGUGAACCAAUAAUCAACUCAAAACAAAGUGAGUUGAAAUUAUUACCUUUGUAGAUUCCUCUUUGCAUUAGCAAAGACUAAUCACCCAAAGAGAUAGGGCCUUCAUUCCUUGCUUCUUAGAUCCAUGGAUUUGGAUGGAAAAAUAGGUUUCUCCAAGUUCCCAAAAUAGGGAACCUCUAAGUCUCUU